rnacentral:rRNA from 2 species
GGAUCCAGACUUUGAUUCUGGCUCAGGAUGAACGCUAGCUACAGGCUUAACACAUGCAAGUCGAGGGGCAGCGGUAUCGAAAGCUUGCUUUCGGUAGCCGGCGACCGGCGCACGGGUGAGUAACGCGUAUCGAACCUGCCUCAUACUCGGGAAUAGCCUUGCGAAAGUAAGAUUAAUGCCCGGUGUUUUCAGAGUCCCGCAUGAGGCUUUGAACAAAGAUUUAUCGGUAUGAGAUGGCGAUGCGUCCCAUUAGCCUGUUGGCGGGGUAACGGCCCACCAAGGCAUCGAUGGGUAGGGGUUCUGAGAGGAAGGUCCCCCACAUUGGAACUGAGACACGGUCCAAACUCCUACGGGAGGCAGCAGUGAGGAAUAUUGGUCAAUGGGCGGAAGCCUGAACCAGCCAAGUAGCGUGCAGGAAGACGGCCCUCCGGGUUGUAAACUGCUUUUAGUUGGGAAUAAAACGGGGCUCGUGAGCCCCCUUGCAUGUACCAUCAGAAAAAGGACCGGCUAACUCCGUGCCAGCAGCCGCGGUAAUACGGAAGGUUCGGGCGUUAUCCGGAUUUAUUGGGUUUAAAGGGAGCGCAGGCGGACCUUUAAGUCAGCUGUGAAAUACGGCGGCUCAACCGUCGAACUGCAGUUGAUACUGGAGGUCUUGAGUGCACACAGGGAUGCUGGAAUUCAUGGUGUAGCGGUGAAAUGCUCAGAUAUCAUGAAGAACUCCGAUCGCGAAGGCAGGCAUCCGGGGUGCAACUGACGCUGAGGCUCGAAAGUGCGGGUAUCAAACAGGAUUAGAUACCCUGGUAGUCCGCACAGUAAACGAUGAAUACUCGCGGUUUGCGAUACAUUGUAAGCCGCCAAGCGAAAGCGUUAAGUAUUCCACCUGGGGAGUACGCCGGCAACGGUGCAACUCAAAUGAAUUGACGG